rnacentral:lncRNA from 1 species
AUGGCUACACAAAAAGACACAUCUCCAGUUGCGAUAUUGGGGAAGAAAUAUCCCCUCCUAGUAGCGGAGAUCCAGAAAUAUUCAAAAAAGUGGAAUAAGAGAACACGUAAAGCCACAUCACCCUGGCCAUCCGAUGGAACAUUCGACCGAGAGCAGUGUGCAGAGAUGGGAGUGUUAAUAAAAAAUUACAAAAUAAAAGAUAAAUCGGCCAAGCGCGCACAAAAGCGAGAGCGGGAGACUGCAAUGCUAAAACUAUUUACCGACCAGGCCAAAAUGUUGGGGGAGAAAACAGUGGAGCAUGUGAAAAAGCAGCUUGAGCUAAAGAAAAAAGAGAUGAAGAAGGGAGGGAAACCCCCUCCGUACGCUGCACAGAUGCCUGUUCGGGAAAUAAGACUGUUGGGGGACUACUCGCUUAGAUCUGGCAGAUCAGGUAAAAGCAUUUACCCGGUCGAGGAGUUAAAAAAGGUUAGGGAAAGAGAGAUAGAGCUAGAUGACCUAGAGGAGCUGCCCGCCACAUAUGCAAAAGCAGCGCAGCUUGCAGGGAAAGACACUCGCCGCAUUAGUGGAUUGCAUGAUAAAGUAAUGCAGGACAUCAAACAAUCAGAGUGUGCAGAGGACGGCAGCGAGGCCGAAGAGGAAUGUGACGGAGAGAGUGCAACUGGGGAAAGCGAGAGGGUCAGGAGGUCACUGGCAGAUGUGGAAUAUUCUAAGCUGCCAGAUCCAAGCAUGGUGUCGACCCCCCGCUAUUUGAAGGAGGGAGCCAAGCCCAAGCAGCCAGGAAUGAAGAAACGAGUGAGUGUGGCUGCAGCGUUUGCUCCCGGGAGUGAGGUGGAGGAAGAGCAUGGAAAGAUGAAUGGAAUCAUCACACUCAGCUCCCAGGGACAGCCAGUCCCUUCAGAAGUGGUGGAGGAAGCAUCAGAGUACCCCCUGCUGGCCAAAGGUGCAAAUCUGCAGUAUGUGCCCUGGCCAACCAUGGAUCUGGAGGGGCUGGUGCAAAGACUGCCUUGUCUGCAUGAUGGGGCAGGGAAGUGGAUUGCAGCUUUCGGAGAAGAGACCAUCGCCACUAUCCUGGCUAUGGGUGACCUCAAGGCCCUCCUGGGAAAAGUGCUGGGGAAACAGGAAAUGGAGGAAACGCUGAGAGCAGCACAGAUGAACGCGUAUGCUGGA